rnacentral:lncRNA from 1 species
UUUUGUUGGUUUUGUUGCAGAUCAGAUGGUUGCAGGUGUGUGGGUUUAUUUCUGGGUUUCCUAUUCUGUUCCAGCGGUUUUUGUGUUUGUUAUUGUACCAGUAUCAUGACCAAGCCCAGUUUCCAACCAUUAGGAGAGGGCUGGCCUCUGCAUUUCUUUACUAUAAUGAGGUGGCAUUUAUCAUAACCUGCAAACCUAAUGUGUUCGGGAGGGAGUCAGGAGGGAUUACAUCCCACUGGCAACUACAUCCCACCCACACCUAUGUCCCACCCACACCCAGUGAGGGAGUACAUCCCACCCACAUCCAGUGAGGGAGUAUAUCCCACCCACACCCAGUGAAGGAUUGUGUCCCACCCACACCCAGUGAGGGAGUACAUCCCACCCACAUCCAGUGAGGGAGUAUAUCCCACCCACACCCAGUGAAGGAUUGUGUCCCACCCACACCCAGUGAGGGAGUGUGUCCCACCCACACCCAGUGAGGGAGUAUAUCCCACCCACACCCAGUGAGGGAGUGUAUCCCACCCAUACCCAGUGAGGGAGUGUAUCCCACCCAUACCCAGUGAGGGAGUGUAUCCCACCCAUACCCAGUGAGGGAGUGUAUCCCACCCAUACCCAGUGAGGGAGUGUGUCCCACCCACACCCAGUGAGGGAGUGUGUCCCACCCACACCCAGUGAGGGAGUGUGUCCCACCCACACCCAGUGAGGGAGUGUGUCCCACCCACACCCAGUGAGGGAGUGUGUCCCACCCAUACCCAGUGAGGGAGUGUGUCCCACCCAUACCCAGUGAGGGAGUGUGUCCCACCCAUACCCAGUGAGGGAGUGUAUCCCACCCAUACCCAGUGAGGGAGUGUAUCCCACCCAUACCCAGUGAGGGAGUGUAUCCCACCCAUACCCAGUGAGGGAGUGUAUCCCACCCAUACCCAGUGAGGGAGUGUAUCCCACCCAUACCCAGUGAGGGAGUGUAUCCCACCCAUACCCAGUGAGGGAGUGUAUCCCACCCAUACCCAGUGAGGGAGUGUAUCCCACCUACACCCAGUGAGGGAGUGUAUCCCACCUACACCCAGUGAGGGAGUGUAUCCCACCCAUACCCAGUGAGGGAGUGUAUCCCACCUACACCCAGGCAAUGUGUGCAGGGCCACCCAAUUAGAAAUGGCAGGAAUUUGGAUUUAAACACGGUUGUUUCUGACUUCAAAUCUGACAAUUUGCACAACACACAUUUAAGAAACAUUUGUAUGUUUGCAGGAAUUUGAGCUCUGAAGCCCGCAAAAGAAUGAGUCCUUGCUGAUGGGACACUGGCAGUGGCCUCCAGGGAGUGGCCUGUGACUGAGGUCCCUUGAUCUGCUUGUGGAUCUGCCGCUACAUCUUUGGAGUUGAAACAGACACAAUGGGAAUCCACCCGUCAACUCUCAUCAUCAAUACAUUUCCGGUUCCCUAGAGGCCAUGGCUGAAAAUCUAGCUGGAAAUCAUUUUAUGGAUGAAUGCCGGCUAACACCGUGGGGUUCCAGGUUCUGUGCUAGGUGGUCUGUCUAGGUGAGAGCACUAAAUGUUCACUAUGAGCCUGGAAGGAGGAGGACCCCAUGACGCCCUUUCUGUAGAUAAGCAAACUGCGCUAAAGGUGGUGAUGACUCGCCCACUUCAGCCAGUGACCCGGCAGAAGGCACAUCCCUGAACCAGGCUCCAGUGGGUGCGACUGUGCCUGAGGAGUUGUCUGGGGCUUUUUGUGGCAGCAGCCCAGGGAUCAGGUGA